rnacentral:rRNA from 1 species
CAGCAGUGGGGAUAUUGGACAAUGGGGGAAACCCUGAUCCAGCCAUGCCGCGUGUGUGAAGAAGGCCUUUUGGUUGUAAAGCACUUUAAGCAGUGAAGAAGACUCUUCGGUUAAUACCCGGAGACGAUGACAUUAGCUGCAGAAUAAGCACCGGCUAACUCUGUGCCAGCAGCCGCGGUAAUACAGAGGGUGCAAGCGUUAAUCGGAAUUACUGGGCGUAAAGCGAGCGUAGGUGGCUUGAUAAGUCAGAUGUGAAAUCCCCGGGCUUAACCUGGGAACUGCAUCUGAAACUGUUAGGCUAGAGUAGGUGAGAGGGAAGUAGAAUUUCAGGUGUAGCGGUGAAAUGCGUAGAGAUCUGAAGGAAUACCGAUGGCGAAGGCAGCUUCCUGGCAUCAUACUGACACUGAGGCUCGAAAGCGUGGGUAGCAAACAGGAUUAGAUACCCUGGUAGUCCACGCCGUAAACGAUGUCUACUAGUCGUUGGGUCCCUUGAGGACUUAGUGACGCAGCUAACGCAAUAAGUAGACCGCCUGGGGAGUACGGCCGCAAGGUUAAAACUCAAAUGAAUUGACGGGGCCCGCCCCA